AAAGGUUGCUAUUGGUAGGGCAAGAUAUUUGCUAAAUAUCGUGUAUAUUAACACUUGAUGGUUCAAUUCCAUCCUUUUCC
rnacentral:tRNA from 1 species